rnacentral:rRNA from 1 species
UGGCGGACGGGGGGGUAAUGUCUGGGAAACUGCCUGAUGGAGGGGGAUAACUACUGGAAACGGUAGCUAAUACCGCAUAACGUCGCAAGACCAAAGAGGGGGACCUUCGGGCCUCUUGCCAUCGGAUGUGCCCAGAUGGGAUUAGCUAGUAGGUGGGGUAACGGCUCACCUAGGCGACGAUCCCUAGCUGGUCUGAGAGGAUGACCAGCCACACUGGAACUGAGACACGGUCCAG